CUACGGGUGGCACCAGUGGGGAAUAUUGGGCAAUGGGCGCAAGCCUGACCCAGCAACGCCGCGUGAGGGAAGAAGGUUUUCGGAUUGUAAACCUCUGUCCUUGGGGACGAAGAAGUGACGGUACCCAAGGAGGAAGCUCCGGCUAACUACGUGCCAGCAGCCGCGGUAAUAUGUAGGGAGCAAGCGUUGUCCGGAAUUACUGGGCGUAAAGGGUGCGUAGGCGGCAUAUUAAGUCAGGUGUGAAAUACUCGGGCUCAACCCGGGGGCUGCAUUUGAAACUGAUAUGCUUGAGUGUGAGAGAGGAAAGUGGAAUUCCUAGUGUAGCGGUGGAAUGCGUAGAAAUUAGGAGGAACACCAGUGGCGAAGGCGACUUUCUGGCUCAUAACUGACGCUGAGGCACGAAAGCGUGGGGAGCAAACAGGAUUAGAUACCCUAGUAGUC
rnacentral:rRNA from 1 species